rnacentral:rRNA from 1 species
AUUGAACGCUGGCGGCAGGCCUAACACAUGCAAGUCGAGCGAGCGGAGGACGGGUGCGUAAUGUCGGGGAAACUGCCGGAGAGAGGGGGAUCAGUGCUGGAAAAGGUAGCGAAUACGGCAUACCAUCAGAUGUGCCCAGACGGGAUUAGCUAGUAGGUGGGGUAACGGCUUAACUAGGCGACGAUCCCUAUCUGGUCUGAGAGGAUGACCAGCCACACUGGAACUGAGACACGGUCCAGACUCCUACGGGAGGCAGCAGUGGGGAAUAUUGGACAAUGGGCGAAAGCCUGAUGCAGCCAUGCCGCGUGUGUGAAGAAGGCCUUCGGGUUGUAAAGCUCUUUCAGCGGGGAGGCGUUACCGACAGAAAAAGCACCGGCUAACUCCGUGCCAGCCGCCGCGGUAAUUC